GACGAACGCUGGCGGCGUGCUUAACACAUGCAAGUCGAACGGAAAGGCCCUGCUUUUGUGGGGUGCUCGAGUGGCGAACGGGUGAGUAACACGUGAGUAACCUGCCCUUGACUUUGGGAUAACUUCAGGAAACUGGGGCUAAUACAGGAUAGGAGCUCCUGCUGCAUGGUGGGGGUUGGAAAGUUUCGGCGGUUGGGGAUGGAAUCGCGGCUUAUCAGCUUGUUGGUGGGGUAGUGGCUUACCAAGGCUUUGACGGGUAGCCGGCCUGAGAGGUGGACCGGCCACAUUAGGACUGAGAUACGGCCCAGACUCCUACGGGAGGCAGCAGUGGAGAAUAUGGCACAAUGGGCGGAAGCCUGAUGCAGCAACGCCGCGUGCGGGAUGACGGCCUUCGGGUUGUAAACCGCUUUCGCCUGUGACGAAGCGUGAGUGACGGUAAUGGGUAAAGAAGCACCGGCUAACUACGUG
rnacentral:rRNA from 1 species